rnacentral:rRNA from 1 species
UACGGAGGGGGCUAGCGUUGUUCGGAAUUACUGGGCGUAAAGCGCACGUAGGCGGCUUUGUAAGUUAGAGGUGAAAGCCCGGAGCUCAACUCCGGAAUUGCCUUUAAGACUGCAUCGCUAGAAUCGUGGAGAGGUAAGUGGAAUUCCGAGUGUAGAGGUGAAAUUCGUAGAUAUUCGGAAGAACACCAGUGGCGAAGGCGACUUACUGGACACGUAUUGACGCUGAGGUGCGAAAGCGUGGGGAGCAAACAGG